AGAGCGCUGCUUCCCCAGGCAGGAAGCGGUGUCAGCCACCACCUCGCCUAAGACUUCGCCCAGGGCUUGGGGGAAGGCGUGGCCGAAAGGUUUUCCGAAAAGUUUCAGGCGCAGAGACAGCGAGUUGCAGGGUCCCGCUCCGCAGCGACAGUCACCCAAGGGAUCGGGGUCCGGGGAGUCAUCCUCCAGCCGCACCCACCGGGUCUGGUCCCGGAACCCGGACCAGCUCCCGCGCUCAGGUGAGGCGACCACGCCCGUCGCCCGCCCCACUCACCUUCUUCAUUUUGGUUUCCAGGUCCAUACUGGGCGUCGGAGGGGCUCAGUCCCGCGUCCGCGAUCUCCGCUGCGGGAACUCCGGCGCCGCUGCCGCUGCUACUCAGCAUGGGCACUCGAACUUCCGCAGCCCGGUUCGGCAGCGGCUGGGACCUGGAACAAAGAGGCCCUGGCAGCCAAUGGCAGCGGGGCAGUGCCGGGUAGCGGCCAAUCAGCGCGCGCCGCACGCACCUUCGCAGCCAGAGCGUGCCGCUAGCAAGAGUCCUGUGCACUUCCAAGGAAGCUUCUCUCACAUCGUUGAUGCCCAUCAAGACUACCACUAUAUUGUUUUGUGAGCACUCAACACUAAAAAGCAACGGGAGGCUCACAGCAACUACUGCAGAACUAUUGCGGAAAGAACCUCAUCUUGGAUUGUUGGGGCGUGGAGGACCCUAGGGAUUAAUUUACUUCAUACAUCUUGCAAGGAUCUGUAGGCCCCGAAGUACAGGCACCUCUCAGAUACAACAUAUUGGGAACAGAGCUUGAGUCCCAGUAAAUUGGGGGGACAGGGGGUGUGAGUUAAUUAUGCAUCUAUGUGUGAGCAUGCCUACUUUUGAGAGCAGGUUCACUUAGAGCCCAGAAUAAGUAGAAUCUUCUGAGGUUGGAGUUCCAGGCCGCCGUGAGGCCCCUGCCUUGGGGGAUGGGAACUGAAAUCAAGUCCUCUGCAAGAGCAGCAGGAGCUUUUAACAACAGAACCAUCUCUCUAGCCCGAAGUAAUUUUAUUCAGUUCCUACUACAUAGAAAUUGUUGAUGGCUAGGUAUCUGGUGAUCUCCUAGUCCAGCGUCUACAUAUGCAUAUGUAUAUAUGUUUUCCUCUAUAUGCACGUGAUAUUAAAAAUAAAAUCUCCAUAUAAUGCA
rnacentral:lncRNA from 1 species